rnacentral:rRNA from 1 species
UACAUAGGCCCCGAGCGUUAUCCGGAAUCACUGGGCGUAAAGAGUGCGUAGGCGGAGGGACAAGUCAGACGUGAAAGGUACGGGCUCAACCCGUCAUCAGCGUCCGAAACUGUCCCCCUAGAAUCGGGGAGAGGUAAGCAGAACUGUAAGAGUAGGGGUGCAAUCCGUUGAUACUUACAAGAAUACCGAAAGCGAAGGCAGCUUACUGGAACCGCAUUGACGCUGAGGCACGAAAGCGUGGGGAGCGAAAAGG